CCUACGGGUGGCAGCAGUGAGGAAUAUUGGUCAAUGGGCGAGAGCCUGAACCAGCCAAGUCGCGUGAGGGAGUACUGCCCUAUGGGUUGUAAACCUCUUUUGUCGGGGAGCAAAAGCCGGACGUGUCCGGCUGUGAGAGUACCCGAAGAAAAAGCAUCGGCUAACUCCGUGCCAGCAGCCGCGGUAAUACGGAGGAUGCGAGCGUUAUCCGGAUUUAUUGGGUUUAAAGGGUGCGCAGGCGGAUUUUUAAGUCAGCGGGAAAAUCGUGGGGCUCAACCCCAUCCAGCCGUUGAAACUGGGGAUCUAGAGUGUGCGAGAGGUAUGCGGAAUGCGUGGUGUAGCGGUGAAAUGCAUAGAUAUAACGCAGAACCCCGAUGGCGAAGGCAGCAUACGGGUGCACAACUGACGCUCAGGCACGAAAGCGUGGGUAGCGAACAGGAUUAGAUACCCGGGGAGUC
rnacentral:rRNA from 1 species